AGAAGUUUAGGAUAUUAAGUCCAAGAGCCUUCAAAGCUCUAAGAAAACAUACAAGUUUAACUUCUG
rnacentral:tRNA from 1 species